rnacentral:rRNA from 1 species
UACGGGGGGGGCAAGCGUUGUUCGGAAUUACUGGGCGUAAAGGGCUGGUAGGCGGCCAACUAAGUCGGAUGUGAAAUCCCCAGGCUUAACCUGGGAACUGCAUCCGAUACUGGAUGGCUUGAAUUCGGGAGAGGGAUGCAGAAUUCCAGGUGUAGCGGUGAAAUGCGUAGAUAUCUGGAGGAACACCGGUGGCGAAGGCGGCAUCCUGGACCAAUAUUGACGCUGAGGAGCGAAAGCGUGGGGAGCAAACAGG